AUUGAACGCUGGCGGCAGGCCUAACACAUGCAAGUCGAACGAGUGGCGGACGGGUGAGUAAUGUCUGGGAAAGUCCCUGAUGGCGGGGGAUCACUAGUGGACACGGUCGCUAAUACCGCAUACUCUCGGAUGUGCCCAGAGGGGAUUCGCUAGUAGGUGGGGUAAAGGCUCACCUAGGCGAAGAUCCCUAGCUGGUCUGAGAGGAUGACCAGCCACACUGGAACUGAGACACGGUCCAGACUCCUACGGGAGGCAGCAGUGGGGAAUAUUGCACAAUGGGCGCAAGCCUGAUGCAGCCAUGCCGCGUGUAUGAAGAAGGCCUUCGGGUUGUAAAGUACUUUCAGCGGGGAGGCGUUACCCGCAGAAGAAGCACCGGCUAACUCCGUGCCAGCCGCCGCGGUAAUAC
rnacentral:rRNA from 1 species